AUUGAACGCUGGCGGCAUGCUUUACACAUGCAAGUCGAACGGUAACAGGCCGCAAGGUGCUGACGAGUGGCGAACGGGUGAGUAAUGCAUCGGAACGUGCCCAGUCGUGGGGGAUAACGCAGCGAAAGCUGCGCUAAUACCGCAUACGAUCUAUGGAUGAAGGCGGGGGACCGUAAGGCCUCGCGCGAUUGGAGCGGCCGAUGUCAGAUUAGGUAGUUGGUGAGGUAAAGGCUCACCAAGCCAACGAUCUGUAGCUGGUCUGAGAGGACGACCAGCCACACUGGGACUGAGACACGGCCCAGACUCCUACGGGAGGCAGCAGUGGGGAAGUUUGGACAAUGGGCGCAAGCCUGAUCCAGCAAUGCCGCGUGCAGGAAGAAGGCCUUCGGGUUGUAAACUGCUUUUGUACGGAACGAAACGGUCCGGGUUAAUACCCUGGGCUAAUGACGGUACCGUAAGAAUAAGCACCGGCUAACUACGUGCCAGCCGCCGCCGUAA
rnacentral:rRNA from 1 species